UUUUACAGCCAUACCACCCUGAACGCACCCGAUCUCGUCUGAUCUCGGAAGCUAAGCAGGGUCGGGCCUGGUUAGUACUUGGAUGGGAGAC
ensembl:rRNA 5S_rRNA 5S ribosomal RNA